rnacentral:rRNA from 1 species
GUCUUGCCUGCCCAGUGACUACAAGUUAAACGGCCGCGGUAUUUUGACCGUGCAAAGGUAGCGCAAUCACUUGUCUUUUAAAUGAAGACCUGUAUGAAUGGUAGAACGAGGGCUUAACUGUCUCCCCCCUCAAGUCAAUGAAAUUGAUCUGCCCGUGCAGAAGCGGACAUAAAAUUACAAGACGAGAAGACCCUAUGGAGCUUAAAAUGAAAGAUCACCUAUGUCAAGAGAAACCACCUAAACUAAAUAGUACUUGAUCCUCAUUUUCGGUUGGGGCGACCACGGGACAUAAAAAAUCUCCCACGCGGAAUGGGCCACUACCAAAACUAAGAGAGACAUCUCUAAGUCGCAGAAUCUCUGACCACAAGAUCCGGCACACCCGCCGAUCAACGAACCAAGUUACCCUAGGGAUAACAGCGCAAUCCUCUUUCAGAGUUCAUAUCGACAAGAGGGUUUACGACCUCGAUGUUGGAUCAGGACAUCCUAAUGGUGCAGCCGCUAUUAAGGGUUCGUUUGUUCA